GGUCAAUGAUGUGAUGUAAAAGGUCUGAUGCCCAGGUCCCCACCAGUUUGCCUCAGACUCCCAGCAGCCCCUGCUGUUUUCCCAGCAUGCUCUAGAUGUGCAGUGUUGGUUCUCAGGGGCAGCUGACAUUUGGGAUGGCCCUCCUGAGAAUGUGUCUCAUAAAGACCAAUGAGUUGCAAGUACUGGCCAGGCCAUCCAACAGUAGCCAAUCACAGUGGAGUAUCGGCUCUGGUGAGGGGGCGGGGCUACUGAUCACAUCUUAUUUACUGAGACC